AUGGCUCAGAUUGAACGCUGGCGGCAGGCCUAACACAUGCAAGUCGAGCGGUAGCACAGAGAGCUUGCUCUCGGGUGACGAGCGGCGGACGGGUGAGUAAUGUCUGGGAAACUGCCUGAUGGAGGGGGAUAACUACUGGAAACGGUAGCUAAUACCGCAUAAUGUCGCAAGACCAAAGUGGGGGACCUUCGGGCCUCAUGCCAUCAGAUGUGCCCAGAUGGGAUUAGCUAGUAGGUGGGGUAACGGCUCACCUAGGCGACGAUCCCUAGCUGGUCUGAGAGGAUGACCAGCCACACUGGAACUGAGACACGGUCCAGACUCCUACGGGAGGCAGCAGUGGGGAAUAUUGCACAAUGGGCGCAAGCCUGAUGCAGCCAUGCCGCGUGUGUGAAGAAGGCCUUCGGGUUGUAAAGCACUUUCAGCGGGGAGGAAGGCGGUGAGGUUAAUAACCUCAUCGAUUGACGUUACCCGCAGAAGAAGCACCGGCUAACUCCGUGCCAGCAGCCGCGGUAAUACGGAGGGUGCAAGCGUUAAUCGGAAUUACUGGGCGUAAAGCGCACGCAGGCGGUCUGUCAAGUCGGAUGUGAAAUCCCCGGGCUCAACCUGGGAACUGCAUUCGAAACUGGCAGGCUAGAGUCUUGUAGAGGGGGGUAGAAUUCCAGGUGUAGCGGUGAAAUGCGUAGAGAUCUGGAGGAAUACCGGUGGCGAAGGCGGCCCCCUGGACAAAGACUGACGCUCAGGUGCGAAAGCGUGGGGAGCAAACAGGAUUAGAUACCCUGGUAGUCCACGCCGUAAACGAUGUCGAUUUGGAGGUUGUGCCCUUGAGGCGUGGCUUCCGGAGCUAACGCGUUAAAUCGACCGCCUGGGGAGUACGGCCGCAAGGUUAAAACUCAAAUGAAUUGACGGGGGCCCGCACAAGCGGUGGAGCAUGUGGUUUAAUUCGAUGCAACGCGAAGAACCUUACCUGGUCUUGACAUCCACAGAACUUUCCAGAGAUGGAUUGGUGCCUUCGGGAACUGUGAGACAGGUGCUGCAUGGCUGUCGUCAGCUCGUGUUGUGAAAUGUUGGGUUAAGUCCCGCAACGAGCGCAACCCUUAUCCUUUGUUGCCAGCGGUUCGGCCGGGAACUCAAAGGAGACUGCCAGUGAUAAACUGGAGGAAGGUGGGGAUGACGUCAAGUCAUCAUGGCCCUUACGACCAGGGCUACACACGUGCUACAAUGGCAUAUACAAAGAGAAGCGACCUCGCGAGAGCAAGCGGACCUCAUAAAGUAUGUCGUAGUCCGGAUUGGAGUCUGCAACUCGACUCCAUGAAGUCGGAAUCGCUAGUAAUCGUAGAUCAGAAUGCUACGGUGAAUACGUUCCCGGGCCUUGUACACACCGCCCGUCACACCAUGGGAGUGGGUUGCAAAAGAAGUAGGUAGCUUAACCUUCGGGAGGGCGCUUACCACUUUGUGAUUCAUGACU
rnacentral:rRNA from 1 species